rnacentral:rRNA from 1 species
GAUGAACGCUGGCGGCGUGCCUAAUACAUGCAAGUCGAGCGAACAGAUGAGGAGCUUGCUCCUCUGACGUUAGCGGCGGACGGGUGAGUAACACGUGGAUAACCUACCUAUAAGACUGGGAUAACUUCGGGAAACCGGAGCUAAUACCGGAUAAUAUAUUGAACCGCAUGGUUCAAUAGUGAAAGACGGUUUUGCUGUCACUUAUAGAUGGAUCCGCGCCGCAUUAGCUAGUUGGUAGGGUAACGGCUUACCAAGGCAACGAUGCGUAGCCGACCUGAGAGGGUGAUCGGCCACACUGGAACUGAGACACGGUCCAGACUCCUACGGGAGGCAGCAGUAGGGAAUCUUCCGCAAUGGGCGAAAGCCUGACGGAGCAACGCCGCGUGAGUGAUGAAGGUCUUCGGAUCGUAAAACUCUGUUAUUAGGGAAGAAUAAAUGUGUAAGUAACUAUGCACGUCUUGACGGUACCUAAUCAGAAAGCCACGGCUAACUACGUG